GCGGGAAGAAAAAGCGAGCGAGGGAGCGGGGAUGGCUGCGCGGACGGAAAGUGCCGAGGAAUGUCGUAACUAUACGGUUAAUAUCCACCUCUAGGCUUUAGAAGUGGAAUUACGCAUGAUAAUAGUUGUCGGAUUGAUAAGUAGUUUAUCAGAGAUCGGGUAUUUCUGAUCGUGUAUUCAAAGUAUUUCUGAAGUUUAAUACCGCGGGAGUAGCAUUAAUCGUAAGUGCGCUGUGGCGCCUGGCCGCCAUCUUAAGCUAAACGCGACCUCCGGCACAGUGUCAGUUACCAUCGUCCUGAAGGGACACCGACUCGGUGGACUGAGUUUGCUGCGACUUCAGAUGACAAGUUCGCCGUUCACCUGCGCAAGGUGCGCGAAGGGGAAACUGGACGCCAGCCAAACGGGUCUGCAGGAGAUACGGGCUCCCAGGCGUCCCCCCGCGACGGAGCUUCGCGCCUCUCCUGAAGCGGCAGAUGUUCAGGAGACAUGAUCGAUCUCCGGCCAGAAAACCUGAAGAUUUAACAAGGUUAAGAACAUAUUGGGACGACGCCCUUCCCCCCCCGACUCGUUUGUGAUCCACAACGCGGCGCACUUCCAGAAUGAGACGGCACAUUGAAAUUGGACGCAGCACUGCAAACGAUUCAGAUGCAGCAGCUGGCCUGUCAAACAAAAACCUUCAAGCCUCCGUCUCCCCCAACACAAAGCGAGGAAAUUGCAUUUCCGUGGAUUUAUCUGCACAUUUAGCCUGCUGGCCGCUUGGGAACAAGCCUGCAAGGUCUACAGGCUGCAAACGACACACAUCACAGGAACCUUCAAAUGCAAGCCAGUAUGAAAAUAUGAAAAUAAUGAGGGCACAUCCCUCGCAGAAGACACCUUUCGGAGCACCCCCGUCGAGUCAACCGGACCACCGUUGGUGUAAAUGAAGACAGGAGGUUCCUUAUCAUCGCUGCAGAGGUGGCCCAGCACUGAUAACAGAGGCCUGUGUCUGUAUCUGCAGCCCCAGAUAACACGGGGCAGUCUCGCUCAUGCAGGAAAUUCCUGCUGAAAAUUACAGACGCACAGCAGUCUAUUUGGUUGCCCAGGUGAUGGUUUACCAAAAAUGUAUGUUCUAGGCCACCUCCUUAAACACUACGCCAACUAGUGGCCACCCAUGGUACUGCCUCAAACAGAGCUCUAAAUUUAGCACCGAAAUAUACUCUCCUUCGCUUUCGCUCCAAACCUCCAGCAGUUACUAAACAUACACAAACACUUACAUGUUCAGUGAGAUGUGUAGUCAAAUGCAGACAUGCCAAAGGCAGAAAAGGCAGUCCCGGAUGUGUUAACUGACAGAAUUCAGCUCCUGCAUCAUAAACAGGAAUCAAUUACAGUUCUAACACCUUUCAGACUGUCACUAUACCCUCCAGAUUUAUUUCAUCUGCAUGCACUUUUCAUUCUCCCCUCGCCCACUUCCCUGAGGCCUUGUUCCCACUGCUCUCACAAGCCUGCUAUAAUUCUCUGUUUUUCUACCACGUUUGGGAGCUUCUAAACCUGGCCUGUUGCGAUGGUCCCACCCCACAUGCGUUCUGCCAUAAAUCUCACAGCAAGCCCAAAUCACCACACGCUCUACGCUCCUUCCCAUCGCAAGUUGAUUCUUUGUCUAUGUCUUAAUGGCCAAGUCUUGACAUAUCAUCCUGUUAAUGCACAAUAUGGCCAAAAGGUUGUGGAUUCCACCUUGUCCGACAUCUCACUCUGAAUCAAAGGGUAUUAAUAUGAAGUUGGCUAACCCUUAGUUAACCCUUAGUUAACCCUUAUUUGCUAUAAUAGCCUCUGAUCUUCUGGGAAGACUUUCCAUUAGAUGUUGGGACAUCGCUGGUGGGAUCUGCUGCCAUCCUGGUUGGCUAUUGUUGUUGGGUGAUCAGGUCCUUUUCCGUGAGCUUGUGUGGCAGCUGAACUAACCUCCUGACAUUUUGACAACCGUCACUUUACUUGUGGUUGACCAGGGCAGCUCCAGCAGGAGAGAAACGUGACAAACUGACUUGUUGGAAAGAUGGUGCCCAAUGACGGUGCCAAGUGGGAAGUCACUAACCUCUUCUGCACGACCACCUGUUCUGCUGCUAACAACUGUUGCAGGACAUUGUGUGACCGUGCGCUUAACUAUACACCUGUGUCAUCGAUGGAUGUGGUUUAAUUAGCCAAUCUGUCUAAUUAAUAGGGGGGUCCCCACACUUCUGGCCAUAUAGUGUCUCAUUGUUCAUAUUUUGUUUAUCACUUCUCAUCUGCAUUAUGACCAACACGAACCACAUUCCACCACGGCGGAAGACCCCAUGCAUUGUGUACCUGAAACUGACCAUAAAAGACACAGACUAUUGUUAACUUUGAUUCACUGCCGAGACGAUAUACGAUAAACAACACGAACCAAACCUAAAAAAACUGCUUCUUUCGUGCCUCUGAAUUUCCACAGAGACUCAAAAAAAAAAAAAAAAAAGA